CCCCCUUUUGUUUUUCCUGGAUCCGCCCCUGACAGCCAUGUUAUAGCUCGUACAGCUACACAACUCUCUUAUCAGCCCGCUUACUAACCCCAAAGAACUUGCUGUAUCUCCAGUGCAACAAUUUUUUAGUGAAAAACACAAGAACAGUCGUUCACAGAUCCAUAUUUUAGUCCACGGUAUAUAUCUGGAGCUGGAGGUCUGCCUUCAACUUCGUGGCCAAACUUUGUUGAGGAGAUAUCGUCGCUCGUAUGGGUUUCUUGUCUUCAGUUAAAGAGUGAGCCAAGCAAUGCCUUUCGUCGCUCUUUGCCAGUGUGCCUAAUUUCACUAGCGACGUGACAUGGUUACCACCACUCAGCAUCAACCGGUGAGAAGCUGUUUGUUUCUACGGCGAAUUGUGGAGGUAUUCCACUCGGAACACGAGGGUUGGAGACACACUGCUGGACAGGCUAAUAAUUUUCUACAAAGCUGUGAGAAAACAGACAAAAACUUUCAGAGAAUCGCAGUUUUGUAGCUUCCUCUCUAGAGGUGUUAGCGGAGACUGUGACUUGUGUAUAGGAUGUCGUUACAGCAGUACACUCACUAAGGACAUGAGGAUCGAGGAUCUUUCAUGAACCCUAUUCCUGUGCACAACUUGCAAGUGACCUUGAUGUUUCCGAGAGGCGUUAAAUGAUGUCAGGGGGACGUACGUACGUGUUGCAGUUGUCGGCUAGGUGGUCCCGAUAGCAGCAUGGACACGACAACAACUUGGACUGCCUCAACUACUCACAGCAGUAUGCUGCACAGAAGUACGACAAACUGUCAACUCAAUAGGUUGCUGAAGCACUGUCGCUAAAAUUAAUUAUCAUCGAUUCUUAUUGGCUAUGGUCUUUAUAGCUGUUGAUACGAUAUUGUUGGUGUCGAACUGAUCAAACAGCCCCCUAUAUAGCUUAUAAAUAAGUUGCUCAUUCAUUCCUAUGUGUGUAACAAGCAAUUCAAUUCAACCUACUUGUUGUAUAUACUUACAAGCAUUUUAUUGUGUGAUUUUGUGUUGAUAAUGCCACAACUUUGAAUGUGAAUAUCUUUUUGUAAAAAAGUUAGCCAUCUACCUGUCUUUGUUAUUGAA